UACGAGGGGGGGCAAGCGUUGUUCGGAAUUAUUGGGCGUAAAGGGUGCGUAGGCGGCUCUAUAAGUAUGGUGUGAAAUCUCCCGGCUUAACUGGGAGGGUGCGCUAUAGACUGUGGGGCUAGAGUGUGGGAGAGGAAAGUGGAAUUCCUGGUGUAGCGGUGAAAUGCGUAGAUAUUGGGAGGAACACCAGUGGCGAAGGCGGCUCACUGGACCGGUACUGACGCUGAUGCGCGAAAGCGUGGGGAGCAAACGGG
rnacentral:rRNA from 1 species